rnacentral:tRNA from 1 species
GCCUCUGUAGCUCAGUUGGUUAGAGCGCUGCACCGGAAUUGCAGGGUUGUUGGUUCAAUUCCUACCAGAGGAC